GAUGAACGCUGGCGGCGUGCCUAAUACAUGCAAGUCGAGCGAAUGGAUUAAGAGCUUGCUCUUAUGAAGUUAGCGGCGGACGGGUGAGUAACACGUGGGUAACCUGCCCAUAAGACUGGGAUAACUCCGGGAAACCGGGGCUAAUACCGGAUAAUAUUUUGAACUGCAUGGUUCAAAAUUGAAAGGCGGCUUCGGCUGUCACUUAUGGAUGGACCCGCGUCGCAUUAGCUAGUUGGUGAGGUAACGGCUCACCAAGGCAACGAUGCGUAGCCGACCUGAGAGGGUGAUCGGCCACACUGGGACUGAGACACGGCCCAGACUCCUACGGGAGGCAGCAGUAGGGAAUCUUCCGCAAUGGACGAAAGUCUGACGGAGCAACGCCGCGUGAGUGAUGAAGGCUUUCGGGUCGUAAAACUCUGUUGUUAGGGAAGAACAAGUGCUAGUUGAAUAAGCUGGCACCUUGAUGGUACCUAACCAGAAAGCCACGGCUAACUACGUGCCAGCAGUCGCGGUAA
rnacentral:rRNA from 1 species